AUGGGGCCGUCAUCAUCGCUGCCAUAUGGGGCCCGUCUGUCAUGGAAAGAAAAAGGUUCUUAUUUUUUUGACGGGAAAAAAAGGCCAGCGCUUCGGUCAGGAACAGCGUCCGGCAAACUGGAGGUCGCCGUCGCCAUGACCGCCGCCGCCACAGUGGCCACCGGCAGCGACGUGGUCCCUGGCCCAUUCUUCCGCGUCCGAACCCACGCCUCUAGCCUCUUCCCUGCUCUCGUCGUCGCCAUCGGCCACCAUGGCCGCCCUGGGCUCGACGCUCGAGCUGGGCGAGAUCCUGUUUGCCCCGCCUGCGUGCUCCUUGGUCGCGCUGCACGCCAGCGCAGGCCCAGCCCAACGUCUGUCCGGCGAGCUCCAGCGUCGUCUGCACGUGCAGAACGAGCAGGAUUCGGCCAUGUCCGGCGCACACGCGAGGUGGAGCUCCAGCCUCGUCAACGUCGUCGUAUCCAAGAGCUCCGAGGAGGCCGAGCACACGCGCACAAGGGCUUCUCCGCAGACCACCUCUCCACAGCUACGCAUGCUCUGCAGCAGCCUCGUCAUUUUGUCGAGCACCCUGCGUGCGCUCCCCAGUGGGAACCAGGUGAGCCACGGUGGGAUGGCUGA
rnacentral:rRNA from 1 species